UCUCCCCGAAACCUCUUCUUCUUCUCUCUUUUUCUUUUUCUUUUCUCUCCAAACCAGUCACGGCCACAACCAGUCGGACCACCGCCGGAGCGCCAUUUCCAACACGCGCCGGAGUUGCAGCUUCUCUGACCGGCGAUGACGGAAACCCCAGAGUUUGGUGAUCAUCGGAGUAAGGACGCGCCUGUACGGCCACUCUAAAGUUUAGCCGUCGAAACUUUGAAGUGACUUUCCGGCGAACUCCGACCACCGUUCGUCGAGUGGGUGGUACCGUUGGAAUCAGUGUCGUGAAAUGAUCGUCGCUCACUAAGUCAUUCCGGUCAACUCGUCAUUUUUAUCCGGCGAGAUUUUGGGUAUCUUCGCUCCUUUGGAAGCAUUUUCCGGCAACACCGGAUCAUUUGGGCGCAGGAGCUGUACUUUCAUGAUGUACUCAUCGAGAUGAUCGUUUUGAUAUAUGACAUGCAUAUAUUCGUCGAUGUUUCCGGUACCGCCACCAACCGCUAUUGUACACCGUUUGGGAAAAACAUGAUAUAAAAAUCAGACUAGAUCAUUCUAAGAUCAUCGAUAAGCUUAGGAGUGUCGCUUUGAGCUCGGAUUAAAUUCUAAAGAGGAGCCUAGUGACGGGAACGUGGAAAAGAUGAAUUAUUGAUGGGGCCAAUGUGUUUAGCCUAUUUCUAUUUCAUGUCAUUGUCUUAUCUGUUGAGCAUUUUAUAUAUGUAUUCGACUUAGAAUCUAAUGAUCGGUAUAUCUGAAUGAGUUAUAAAAUAGUUAGGGAUGAGGAAUGGUGGAUGCUAAGUAUUAUUUUGGGUGUGUAUGACUUAUUAAAUUUAACUAUUUGGUGAUUACAUAACUGUGGGAAUAUUAUUGUUUUAUGUAUAAUGAUAAAUGAUCAUACUUUUAUUACUAA